rfam:Candidatus Saccharibacteria bacterium GW2011_GWC2_48_9 TY35_C0002, whole genome shotgun sequence.
GGCCUAAACCAGUAUUGCUGGCAUGGUCAGCCAAAAAACCAUCGUGAAAUAAAUGCUCGUCGUCAGAGUACUAUUUCACGAUGGUCGGUACUGGAAACGGUAUCGGGGGCUUCGGCCUC